GGGGGGGGGGGGGGGGGGGGGUGGGAGGGGGGGGGCGGGCGGUGGGGCGCGAGCUUGCUGGGGGACACGAGUGGCGAAAGGGUGAGUAACACGUGGGUGACCUGCCCUGCACUUCGGGAUAAGCCUGGGAAACUGGGUCUAAUACCGGGUAGGACCAUGGUGUGGAUACUGUGGUGGAAAGGUUUUUCGGUGUGGGAUGGGCCCGCGGCCUCUCAGCUUGUUGGUGGGGUAAUGGCCUACCAAGGCGGCGACGGGUAGCCGGCCUGAGAGGGUGGACGGCCACAUUGGGACUGAGACACGGCCCAGACUCCUACGGGAGGCAGCAGUGGGGAAUAUUGCACAAUGGGCGGAAGCCUGAUGCAGCGACGCCGCGUGGGGGAUGACGGCCUUCGGGUUGUAAACUCCUUUCACCAUCGACGAAGGGUUUCUGACGGUAGAUGGAGAAGAAGCACCGGCUAACUACGUG
rnacentral:rRNA from 1 species